rnacentral:rRNA from 1 species
UACGAAGGGGACUAGCGUUGUUCGGAAUCACUGGGUUUAAAGGGUGCGUAGGUGGGUUGGUAAGUCAGUGGUGAAAUCUCCAGGCUUAACUUGGAAACUGCCAUUGAUACUAUCAAUCUUGAAUACCGUGGAGGUCAGCGGAAUAUGUCAUGUAGCGGUGAAAUGCUUAGAUAUGACAUAGAACACCAAUUGCGAAGGCAGCUGGCUACACGAAUAUUGACACUGAUGCACGAAAGCGUGGGGAUCAAACAGG